rnacentral:lncRNA from 1 species
GUCAAAUCAUGAUGUGGGGGGGGCGAGGUCAAAUCAUGAUGUGGGGGGGACAAGAGACGCCUCUGUGGAGACCCCUCUGUGGAGGUGGAGACCCCUCUGUGGAGGUGGAGACCCCUCUGUGGAGGUGGAGACCCCUCUGUGGCGGUGGAGACCCCUCUGUGGAGGUGGAGACCCCUCUGUGGCGGAUAUUGAUUCAGAUGUUUCUGGAGCCAUGACAUGAGAAAAUGUGUUUUUCAUUUUAUUUGUUUAUUAGGAUCCCCAUUAGCUAGCUAGGGGACAGCAAGUCUUACUGGGGAAACAACAUAUAAUGAAAAAUACUUUACAGACAAAUUACUUUACAGUUUAAAUACAUUUAAAAACAGUAACAUAUAAUGUGUGUGUAUUUAUCAGUGACACAUACAUGUCAGUACACACACAACCAGUAGGUCACAUGUCAGUACACACGACCAGUAGGUCACAUGUCAGUACAAACACACAACCAGUAGGUCACAUAUCAGUACACACACACACGACCAGUAGGUCACAUAUCAGUACACACAACCAGUAGGUCACAUGUCAGCAGCAGCACGGCCAGGUGGACUGGGGACAUGUCAGUACAUGUUCCAUGCACUCAUGGCUCUGGAUAAUACUGCACGUUUUCUUGAAUUUGUUCUGGAUUUGGGGACUGUGAAAAGACCCCUGGUGGCAUGUCUGGUGGGGUAAGUGUGUGUGUGUCAGUGCUGUGUGUGUAAGUUGACUAUGCAAACAAUUUGGAAUUUCCAACACAUGAAUGUUUCUUUAUAAAAAUAAAAAAAAACAGUUUCUCGACUCUUAGCCAAGAGAGACGCAUGUGUAGUAUUAAUAUCAGCCCUCUGAUUACAG